UCCAUGUGGCAUUUGUAAGAAAACUAGCCAUGAAGGAAAAGAUUUCUGGUACAAGAGAAAGCCACAGUGCUUCAAAUGUAAAAGGUUUAGGCAUGUGCAAAAAGCUUAUAGAUUCAAGGAAAAGAACACAUCAAAUGUAGCACAAGAAAAAGAAGAAGAAGAAUUUCUGUUCUGAGGAACAAGAAAAUUCACUGGUGAGAAAUGCACCAGAAAAACAAAAAAAUGGUGAGUAGUGCACCAGAAAAUGAAAAUCAAAGUAAUGGUGAGAUGUGCACCAAAAGUGAAUGAAGAAU
rnacentral:misc_RNA from 1 species